rnacentral:rRNA from 1 species
GAUGAACGCUGGCGGCGUGCCUAAUACAUGCAAGUCGAGCGAACGGACGAGAAGCUUGCUUCUCUGAUGUUAGCGGCGGACGGGUGAGUAACACGUGGAUAACCUACCUAUAAGACUGGGAUAACUUCGGGAAACCGGAGCUAAUACCGGAUAAUAUUUUGAACCGCAUGGUUCAAAAGUGAAAGACGGUCUUGCUGUCACUUAUAGAUGGAUCCGCGCUGCAUUAGCUAGUUGGUAAGGUAACGGCUUACCAAGGCAACGAUGCAUAGCCGACCUGAGAGGGUGAUCGGCCACACUGGAACUGAGCCGCGGUCCAGACUCCUACGGGAGGCAGCAGUAGGGAAUCUUCCGCAAUGGGCGAAAGCCUGACGGAGCAACGCCGCGUGAGUGAUGAAGGUCUUCGGAUCGUAAAACUCUGUUAUUAGGGAAGAACAUAUGUGUAAGUAACUGUGGACAUCUUGACGGUACCUAGUCAGAAAGCCACGGCUAACUACGUG